rnacentral:rRNA from 1 species
UACGUAGGGUGCAAGCGUUGUCCGGAAUUAUUGGGCGUAAAGAGCUUGUAGGCGGCUUGUCGCGUCUGCUGUGAAAUUUCGGGGCUCAACCCCGAACUUGCAGUGGGUACGGGCAGGCUAGAGUGUGGUAGGGGAGACUGGAAUUCCUGGUGUAGCGGUGAAAUGCGCAGAUAUCAGGAGGAACACCGAUGGCGAAGGCAGGUCUCUGGGCCAUAACUGACGCUGAGAAGCGAAAGCAUGGGGAGCGAACAGG